GACGAACGCUGGCGGCGUGCCUAAUACAUGCAAGUUGAGCGAUGAAGAUUGGUGCUUGCACCAAUUUGAAGAGCAGCGAACGGGUGAGUAACGCGUGGGGAAUCUGCCUUUGAGCGGGGGACAACAUUUGGAAACGAAUGCUAAUACCGCAUAAUAACUUUAAACAUAAGUUUUAAGUUUGAAAGAUGCAAUUGCAUCACUCAAAGAUGAUCCCGCGUUGUAUUAGCUAGUUGGUGAGGUAAAGGCUCACCAAGGCGAUGAUACAUAGCCGACCUGAGAGGGUGAUCGGCCACAUUGGGACUGAGACACGGCCCAAACUCCUACGGGAGGCAGCAGUAGGGAAUCUUCGGCAAUGGACGAAAGUCUGACCGAGCAACGCCGCGUGAGUGAAGAAGGUUUUCGGAUCAUAAAACUCUGUUGGUAGAGAAGAACGUUGGUGAGAGUGGAAAGCUCAUCAAGUGACGGUAACUACCCAGAAAGGGACGGCUAACUACGUG
rnacentral:rRNA from 1 species